rnacentral:lncRNA from 10 species
GGCCUGCUCUGGUAAUACUCCAGGGGUCUACAGAAAUUAAGAAAACAGAACCUUUUCCCUUUGAGGAUUUAACCUAGUAGGAGACACACCAAUAUCCAAACACAAAGCAAUGUUCUUCUGAAAUCUUCUAGUCCUUUCUACCUCUUUUAAGGUACUUAUCCCACUCUGCUCACCCCAUUUUAGAGGCGUCAACUCACAACAAUGUGAUCAACAGUCACCAAAGUUCAAGUCCUCUCUCUCCCCUCCUUCUCCUGGCCUCCAGGUUGAGAAGUUUGGUGCAACUUCUUCCCAGGGCUGACUUCGUCCACCCCAGGAGUUUCAUAGAGCACCUCAUAAAAACCCAUUUACUGGUUUCCCCAACAUAAUGGCAGAAAUAAACUACUUGAUACACACUUGGAAAUCCCUUCCAGAGAACAUGUGCAUUGUUUUGUUGGCAUGGCAUCUUGGUUUCUAACUUGAAUUUCCACCGCCUUUGCUUUUUUGACAGUAUCUUCCAUGAUUAAGAUGGCCGAAUCCUCCACUUUUUAUUGAGUUGGACAGCAAAUCACAGAAUAAAUGCUUUCCCUUGCACUUUAAAAGGAUUUAAUAGGAAAAUAUUUUUCCUACAUCCUGUUUCAAGGGGAAAAUGUGAUUUUAAGGGGCAUUUUAUAGUUCACAACAGGAUAUUGAAGGGCAUUUGGUUUUGCUUAGUUUAUUAUGACUGUGUUUCUCCAGCAUGAAGUAGUGUUUUUUGUGAUUAUUUAGAUAAGUGUGAUUAUGGUAGAUAGGCAGCUUUUAAUGUCCCCCAAACAGUUUUGUGAUGAGAGUAGGAGUAAGGAGAGUAGCAUUUAUUCAAGGAGAUCCCUAUGUAUCUGUAAGCAGUUCUGAAUAUGAGAAUUGGAGUAACUGAUAUGUGUGGAUUUGUGUGUAUUUCAUUCAUUCAUUCAUCCAUUAAGCUAGCCAGUCAGUGAGUCAUAUUCUAAACAUAUUCCCAGUGUCUACUC